rnacentral:rRNA from 1 species
AACGAACGCUGGCGGCAGGCCUAACACAUGCAAGUCGAGCGAGGACUUCGGUCCUAGCGGCGGACGGGUGAGUAACGCGUGGGAACGUGCCCUUUGCUACGGAAUAGCCCCGGGAAACUGGGAGUAAUACCGUAUGUGCCCUUCGGGGGAAAGAUUUAUCGGCAAAGGAUCGGCCCGCGUUGGAUUAGGUAGUUGGUGGGGUAAUGGCCUACCAAGCCGACGAUCCAUAGCUGGUUUGAGAGGAUGAUCAGCCACACUGGGACUGAGACACGGCCCAGACUCCUACGGGAGGCAGCAGUGGGGAAUCUUAGACAAUGGGGGAAACCCUGAUCUAGCCAUGCCGCGUGAGCGAUGAAGGCCUUAGGGUUGUAAAGCUCUUUCAGUGGGGAAGAUAAUGACGGUACCCACAGAAGAAGCCCCGGCUAACUCCGUGCCAGCAGCCGCCGUAAGAC